rnacentral:rRNA from 1 species
GUGUCAGCAGCCGCGGUAAGACGAACCGUGCGAACGUUGUUCGGAAUCACUGGGCUUAAAGGGCGCGUAGGCGGGCGUGCAAGUCAGGGGUGAAAUCCUCCGGCUCAACCGGAGAACAGCUUUUGAUACUGCACGCCUCGAGGGGGGUAGGGGCAUGUGGAACUUCCGGUGGAGCGGUGAAAUGCGUAGAUAUCGGAAGGAACGCCGGUGGCGAAAGCGACGUGCUGGACCCCUUCUGACGCUGAGGCGCGAAAGCCAGGGGAGCAAACGGGAUUAGAUACCCCCGUAGUCC